rnacentral:rRNA from 1 species
AUUGAACGCUGGCGGCAGGCCUAACACAUGCAAGUCGAGCGGCAGCGGGAAAGUAGCUUGCUACUUUUGCCGGCGAGCGGCGGACGGGUGAGUAAUGCCUGGGAAAUUGCCCAGUCGAGGGGGAUAACAGUUGGAAACGACUGCUAAUACCGCAUACGCCCUACGGGGGAAAGCAGGGGACCUUAGGGCCUUGCGCGAUUGGAUAUGCCCAGGUGGGAUUAGCUAGUUGGUGAGGUAAUGGCUCACCAAGGCGACGAUCCCUAGCUGGUCUGAGAGGAUGAUCAGCCACACUGGAACUGAGACACGGUCCAGACUCCUACGGGAGGCAGCAGUGGGGAAUAUUGCACAAUGGGGGAAACCCUGAUGCAGCCAUGCCGCGUGUGUGAAGAAGGCCUUCGGGUUGUAAAGCACUUUCAGCGAGGAGGAAGGUUGAUGCCUAAUACGUAUCAACUGUGACGUUACUCGCAGAAGAAGCACCGGCUAACUCCGUGCCAGCCGCCGCAGUAA